rnacentral:lncRNA from 1 species
CUCUAAUCUCCGGAUAAAAGCGAAGAACGUUGGGGCAGGACGUUUCAAAUGAGUCGUUGCAGUGGAAGCGUCAACACGAGUUACACUACACGGCCAACAAGAGUAGGUGGUGACGUCGACGGUCGACUUGGCGGAUGUGGUGAGGUGGCGAUUGUAUAACCAAUGUAUGACAAGAGGAGGACGAUUGCAUUUUUGAAUAUCUCAUUCAUUAUUUUCCGCUUCUCCGCGGCCUCAGAAUCAAGAGCCGGGAGCAGUAAUCCUGCCUCCCUUCCGGAAUCAUCAACUGUCAACUGUCAACAACCAUUGCCCAGCCUAAUUGUGUCCAAUAGGUCAACCUGUUUGGACGGAUAUUGGACCAACUACUGUAUCUUCCUCCUCCAAAUGUGAAUGGAUUCACGAGCAUGUCCUGCAGUACUCGCCCUCGUUUAUUGUCUUGGCGUCCACCUGGAUUUCUUCUGCUGUGUGAAUGCGGGGCACCUGCGACGGUGUGUCGAGCGUCAAUUCCCAGUCUCCGGCUUCAAGUUUAUCGAGUCUCACGCUGGCGAUCCGACUCUCCGCGCCUUCCCAUUGGUCGAUCCGAUUUUUGAUCAUUUUUGAUCGACGCCAUCGUCCAUAAUCGAGGCAAACGCAAAACAGUCAGAGCUCGUCAGCUGGGCUUUAAAUCGUCUGUCGGGAUCAUUAAUAAAUGGGCUGGAUUGAGUCGAAACAAAAACACUAAAGAAUUGCACAUCUCUCCGCUGAAAUCCAGCUGAAACCGAUUGCAGUCGGCCGUUUCGAAGUUGAAAACAUUUAUCUGGCAGCAGCGCCUAGUCGAAAACAAAAUGUCUGACUGUCAACGUCAAGUGUCUCCACAGUACACACCCAACUUUAUCUGCAAAAGUGUUGAUGCUGCAGUUUAAAUCGACUCUGUGAUGAAACUAGUUUUAGGAAAAGAAGGGCCUCUAUGAAGAAGAAAGAAUCAAUCGGUCCAAAUCAGGUGUUGAUUAUGAUGCUGGCAUUCUAGUUACAAAUGGAAAGCUUUGCAUACUUGCAGUCUCACAGUUUGGUUACUCCCUUUCGUGGUUCAAUUCCAAUCGAAUCAUCUUUCGAUUCAAUCGAGGCCUGGCUCGUCCCAACAUUUCAACAUUUUCUUCCGUCGCAAAUUCUCGUCGCAUUUGGGCGACCUGGACGCAACCAUUCGACUCUCUUGGAAAGUGAACAGACGAUCCAGGGAGAUAUCGUGACAAUCUAGUGCUUGUUGUGGAGAUGUCAUAGUGCUCUGUUAUCCAGUUCAAAUGUGUUGUUGAAAGUUCGCCUUCUCGUCAUCGUCUAAUAGGAUUUGGUACUCGUUGAGUCCAUUGUGAAUGGUUGGUGGUUUCAUUUCACUGUGGAACAAGAUUUAAUUUCGGUCUUUUUUCUUGGGUUUAGUGGUGUUUUACCUGGGUGCGUGCAUGGCGAUGUCGGCGGCCAAUGGACAGAACAACCGCCUUCACUUAUCAUUUGGAGUGACCGACAACCCGUCGAAUUCGAAUGCAGAGACACCAGCAGUUCAUUAUCAUACUAUACUGUACAGAUCAAAAAGGGGACGGAAGCCAAUUGGAAUGCCGCUUGUUCGUAAGGAGGGAAUCACAAUAAAUGGACGAGUGACUGGCAACAUUUUCUUCUUCUCCUCAGUCUCUGAUUGUUGUCUUAAUGCCAUUUUAUGCACUGCUGCUACUACAAAAAGGGUUUACUUUGCUCAAGGCAGAAGAUGACGCCUUCCAGUUUUACUUGAACUCUGAAGCCUCUAAUUCCAUAUGAAGUAACGAACAAGCAGGAAUCCAGAGCUUUCAUCGGUUGUUGAAUUCCCCUAAAAUCAAUCCUGGACGCUCCAUUGUACCUCAAUUCAACAAUCAAUUUUUGUCUUUCGUUUAUCAGGUGAAAGUUCGCAAUCACGCUUGAAAUGAUCAAAUCAACAUCAAUAAAGAUUUAUCGAUCAAAUCAACGCCGGCUACAUUUAGAGCCGCUUUAAAUCCCUUCCUGCAACAAGCCAAGGUUUAUAUUUCGGGUAAUGACGAGUGUAGGAUGGAUCCCACAAUUGGACAAUACGUCAUAGACUCAAAUAUCUGUGUUAGUACUCCUGGCAAAUUCACAUGCACAGGUGAUGUCGGCGGUCCAGUAGUUGUUCUAUCGUCGACGGGGACCUGGACUUUGGUUGGAAUCAACAGCUACACCAAGGACUGCGCUUCCAAUGGCCUCAAA